AGUGAACGCUGGCGGUAGGCCUAACACAUGCAAGUCGAACGGCAGCACAGUAAGAGCUUGCUCUUACGGGUGGCGAGUGGCGGACGGGUGAGGAAUACAUCGGAAUCUACUUUUUCGUGGGGGAUAACGUAGGGAAACUUACGCUAAUACCGCAUACGACCUACGGGUGAAAGCAGGGGAUCUUCGGACCUUGCGCGAUUGAAUGAGCCGAUGUCGGAUUAGCUAGUUGGCGGGGUAAAGGCCCACCAAGGCGACGAUCCGUGGCUGGUCUGAGAGGAUGAUCAGCCACACUGGAACUGAGACACGGUCCAGACGCCUACGGGAGGCAGCAGUGGGGAAUAUUGGACAAUGGGCGCAAGCCUGAUCCAGCCAUACCGCGUGGGUGAAGAAGGCCUUCGGGUUGUAAAGCCCUUUUGUUGGGAAAGAAAAGCAGCAGGUUAAUACCCCGCUGUUCUGACGGUACCCAAAGAAUAAGCACCGGCUAACUUCGUG
rnacentral:rRNA from 1 species